CUAGUACUCCCUCCGUCCCAAAAUUCUUGUCUUAGAUUCGUCUAGAUACGGAUGUAUCUAAUACUAAAACGUGACUUGAUACAUCUGUAUUUAGACAAAUCUACGACAAGAAUUUUGGGACGGAGGGAGUACUAC
rnacentral:pre_miRNA from 1 species